rnacentral:rRNA from 1 species
CCUGGCUCAGGAUGAACGCUAGCUACAGGCUUAACACAUGCAAGUCGAGGGGCAGCAUGGUCUUAGCUUGCUAAGGCCGAUGGCGACCGGCGCACGGGUGAGUAACACGUAUCCAACCUGCCGUCUACUCUUGGACAGCCUUCUGAAAGGAAGAUUAAUACAAGAUGGCAUCAUGAGUCCGCAUGUUCACAUGAUUAAAGGUAUUCCGGUAGACGAUGGGGAUGCGUUCCAUUAGAUAGUAGGCGGGGUAACGGCCCACCUAGUCUUCGAUGGAUAGGGGUUCUGAGAGGAAGGUCCCCCACAUUGGAACUGAGACACGGUCCAAACUCCUACGGGAGGCAGCAGUGAGGAAUAUUGGUCAAUGGGCGAGAGCCUGAACCAGCCAAGUAGCGUGAAGGAUGACUGCCCUAUGGGUUGUAAACUUCUUUUAUAAAGGAAUAAAGUCGGGUAUGGAUACCCGUUUGCAUGUACUUUAUGAAUAAGGAUCGGCUAACUCCGUGCCAGCAGCCGCGGUAAUACGGAGGAUCCGAGCGUUAUCCGGAUUUAUUGGGUUUAAAGGGAGCGUAGAUGGAUGUUUAAGUCAGUUGUGAAAGUUUGCGGCUCAACCGUAAAAUUGCAGUUGAUACUGGAUAUCUUGAGUGCAGUUGAGGCAGGCGGAAUUCGUGGUGUAGCGGUGAAAUGCUUAGAUAUCACGAAGAACUCCGAUUGCGAAGGCAGCCUGCUAAGCUGCAACUGACAUUGAGGCUCGAAAGUGUGGGUAUCAAACAGGAUUAGAUACCCUGGUAGUCCACACGGUAAACGAUGAAUACUCGCUGUUUGCGAUAUACUGCAAGCGGCCAAGCGAAAGCGUUAAGUAUUCCACCUGGGGAGUACGCCGGCAACGGUGAAACUCAAAGGAAUUGACGGGGGCCCGCACAAGCGGAGGAACAUGUGGUUUAAUUCGAUGAUACGCGAGGAACCUUACCCGGGCUUAAAUUGCAGAUGAAUUACGGUGAAAGCCGUAAGCCGCAAGGCAUCUGUGAAGGUGCUGCAUGGUUGUCGUCAGCUCGUGCCGUGAGGUGUCGGCUUAAGUGCCAUAACGAGCGCGACCCUUGUUGUCAGUUACUAACAGGUUCCGCUGAGGACUCUGACAAGACUGCCAUCGUAAGAUGUGAGGAAGGUGGGGAUGACGUCAAAUCAGCACGGCCCUUACGUCCGGGGCUACACACGUGUUACAAUGGGGGGUACAGAGGGCCGCUACCACGCGAGUGGAUGCCAAUCCCCAAAACCUCUCUCAGUUCGGACUGGAGUCUGCAACCCGACUCCACGAAGCUGGAUUCGCUAGUAAUCGCGCAUCAGCCACGGCGCGGUGAAUACGUUCCCGGGCCUUGUACACACCGCC